AAAGGACCUACAAAUAACAAGGAGUGCAGGAAAGAAUUACAAAGAGCUUUAACUUCCAUUCAUCAAGUUUAUUGUUAUGCCAAGACCAUUCAUAUGCACCAAACUUGUAUAUUGGUAUUUAGUUUCAUGAAUGUGAUAAUUAUAUAAUUUGGACAAGCAAUGCUUGUUCAUAGUGAAGGCAAAUAAAUGAUAGGGCUAAGCUUACAGUGGUAAUUUAGUAUAGAGAACUUAAAUACUAAAAUAAGUUUUGACCUGGCCACUUGGGAAGUUGACUAAAAUUGGGUGCGAAAUGUGUAACAAUUUUCUAGGUAGUAAGAUGUUAACCAGAAUUACUAAAAUGAUGCCAAUCUCGGUAGAAGCCCAAAAACCGCCAUGAUGCCAGUGAGGGAAUGACCCUUUCAGGCAACUUGAGGGAUAUAUAUGCUAGAGACUUUGAAUGAAUAUGAACCAGUUGUCUCAGGCACACCCAACAAAAGAAAGAGAAAGCCAGAUAGAUCAUAUAAGAGAAUCUAUUGACCACUUUAGUGCCACAGUAGUGAGUCUAGAGUUAAGUUGUCAAUGCUCAAUUCAAUAUGGGCACACAACGUGAUGGUGUACCUCAGAUAGCCAGGCCCCCUACUUAUUACCAUUAUUAUUAUUAUUUUUACAUAUAUCCAUUGUUAGAUACCCAAAAAUUCAUAGAAAUAUUUGGGAAUAAUUUGUAUUAGUACAACUAUUGACAUAAGAACUAAAGGCCCAAAGGAAAAAUGUUUAGCAGUCAAUGUAGCAUACCCAUUCAUAAGAACCUUCUUG
rnacentral:misc_RNA from 1 species